rnacentral:lncRNA from 1 species
GGGUCGUCGGUCAGUGACGGGCCGAGUCGGCUGGUCCCUCCAAAAUUUGUCGAGAUAUCCCCGACGUAUGAGGGUCUCGAUCUCAUCCUUGAGUUGGAUGCACUGCUCGAUGUUGUGGCCAUGGCCCCAAUGAAAUUGACAGUACUUUCGUCGAUCGAGGCCCUUUGCCUUCAGAGGCGGAGGCGUCGCAGAUAUUUUUCCCCUUCGAUCUCC